rnacentral:sRNA from 14 species
AAGAAGUUGAUCACAACAAACAUAUACCCCUUUGUUUGACCGUGAAAAAUUUCUCCCAUCCCCUUUGUUUGUAUAAGAAAACCCGUUGUCUUCGGACAACGGGUUUUCU